rnacentral:rRNA from 1 species
GAUGAACGCUGGCGGCGUGCCUAAUACAUGCAAGUCGAGCGAACAGACGAGGAGCUUGCUCCUCUGACGUUAGCGGCGGACGGGUGAGUAACACGUGGAUAACCUACCUAUAAGACUGGGAUAACUUCGGGAAACCGGAGCUAAUACCGGAUAAUAUAUUGAACCGCAUGGUUCAAUAGUGAAAGACGGUUUUGCUGUCACUUAUAGAUGGAUCUGCGCCGCAUUAGCUAGUUGGUAAGGUAACGGCUUACCAAGGCAACGAUGCGUAGCCGACCUGAGAGGGUGAUCGGCCACACUGGAACUGAGACACGGUCCAGACUACUACGGGAGGCAGCCGUAGGGAAUCUUCCGCAAUGGGCGAAAGCCUGACGGAGCAACGCCGCGUGAGUGAUGAAGGUCUUCGGAUCGUAAAACUCUGUUAUUAGGGAAGAACAAAUGUGUAAGUAACUAUGCACGUCUUGACGGUACCUAAUCAGAAAGCCACGGCUAACUACGUG